rnacentral:rRNA from 1 species
GACGAACGCUGGCGGCGUGCUUAACACAUGCAAGUCGAACGGUGAAGGGACCGGUUUUUGCUGGUUCUGGAUGAGUGGCGAACGGGUGAGUAACACGUGAGUAACCUGCCCCCUUCUUCUGGAUAACCGCAUGAAAGUGUGGCUAAUACGGGAUAUUCUGCGCCUGCUGCAUGGUGGGUGUGGGAAAGAUAUUGUUUCGGUGGGGGAUGGGCUCGCGGCCUAUCAGCUUGUUGGUGGGGUGAUGGCCUACCAAGGCGGUGACGGGUAGCCGGCCUGAGAGGGUGGACGGUCACACUGGGACUGAGACACGGCCCAGACUCCUACGGGAGGCAGCAGUGGGGAAUAUUGCACAAUGGGCGCAAGCCUGAUGCAGCGACGCCGCGUGAGGGAUGGAGGCCUUCGGGUUGUAAACCUCUUUCGCCAGUAAAGCAGGCCUGUCCCUUUUGUGGGUGGGUUGACGGUAGCUGGAGAAGAAGCGCCGGCUAACUACGUG